ACGAACGCUGGCGGCGUGCUUAACACCUGCAAGUCGAGCGGAAAGGCCCUUCGGGGUACUCGAGCGGCGAACGGGUGAGUAACACGUGAGUAACCUGCCCCAGACUUUGGGAUAACCCUCGGAAACGGGGGCUAAUACCGGAUACGACACAGCUUCGCAUGGGGUCUGUGUGGAAAGUUUUUCGGUUUGGGAUGGGCUCGCGGCCUAUCAGCUUGUUGGUGGGGUGAUGGCCUACCAAGGCGACGACGGGUAGCCGGCCUGAGAGGGCGACCGGCCACACUGGGACUGAGACACGGCCCAGACUCCUACGGGAGGCAGCAGUGGGGAAUAUUGCACAAUGGGCGGAAGCCUGAUGCAGCGACGCCGCGUGAGGGAUGACGGCCUUCGGGUUGUAAACCUCUUUCAGCAGGGACGAAGCGUAAGUGACGGUACCUGCAGAAGAAGCGCCGGCCAACUACGUG
rnacentral:rRNA from 1 species